rnacentral:rRNA from 1 species
GGACGAACGCUGGCGGCGUGCUUAACCCAUGCAAGUCGAACGAUGAAGAAGAGAAACGCGACCUUCGGUUCAAAUUUCACUUCGGAUUAGUGGCAGACGGGUGAGUAACGCGUGAGCAACCUACCUCUUACAAAGGGAUAGCCUCGGGAAACCGUGAUUAAUACCAUAUGACACAUUCAUAAGGCAUCUUAAGAAUGUUAAAGCUACGGCGGUAAGAGAUGGGCUCGCGUCCCAUUAGCUAGUUGGUGAGGUAACGGCCCACCAAGGCGACGAUGGGUAACCGGCCGGAGAGGGUGAACGGUCACAUUGGAACUGAGACACGGUCCAAACUCCUACGGGAGGCAGCAGUGGGGAAUAUUGCACAAUGGAGGGAACUCUGAUGCAGCGACGCCGCGUGAGCGAUGAAGGAAUUCGUUUCGUAAAGCUCUGUUCUAUGGGAAGAAAAGGACUGUACCAUAGGAGAAAGCCCCGGCUAAAUACGUG